CCGUACAGCAGAGAUGCCCUAAGGGCUGUCGCUGACCUUUGCAGGUCGUGCACGCCCAAAGGUGCUCUCUCUCCCAUCCAUCUCACCCCUUUGUGCAUCACCGCGUGGGCCGCCCCCUAUCGGGAUCGGUUCACGUUUUUACACAGACCCACCGCAUGUGUAGAAUGUCUUAAUAUUUGCGAUAAUACGCAAUCAAUA
rnacentral:misc_RNA from 1 species